AUUGAACGCUGGCGGCAGGCCUAACACAUGCAAGUCGAACGGGUGGCGGACGGGUGAGUAAUUUAUGGACAACUGCCCGAUCUAGGGGGAUAACUACGGGAAACGGUAGCUACUACCGCUUACCAUCGGUUGUGCCCAGGUGGGAUUAGCUAGUCGGGGGGGUAACGGCUGACCAAGGCGACGAUGCCUAGCUGGUCUGAGAGGAUGACCAGCCACACUGGAACUGAGACACGGGCCAGACUCCUACGGGAGGCAGCAGUGGGGAAUCUUGCACAAUGGGCGAAAGCCUGAUGGAGCAAUGCCGCGUGUAUGAAGAAGGCUUUCGGGUCGUAAAGUACUGUUAGCGAGGAGGCGUUAUCUGCCGAAGAAGCCCCGGCUAACUACGUGCCAGCAGCCGCGGUAAUUC
rnacentral:rRNA from 1 species